rnacentral:rRNA from 1 species
GUAGGUGGCAAGCGUUGUCCGGAAUUAUUGGGCGUAAGGCGCGCGCAGGCGGUCCUUUAAGUCUGAUGUGAAAGCCCACGGCUCAACCGUGGAGGGUCAUUGGAAACUGGGGGACUUGAGUACAGAAGAGGAAAGCGGAAUUCCAAGUGUAGCGGUGAAAUGCGUAGAGAUUUGGAGGAACACCAGUGGCGAAGGCGGCUUUCUGGUCUGUAACUGACGCUGAGGCGCGAAAGCGUGGGGAGCAAACAGGAUUAGAUACCCUGGUAGUCCACGCCGUAAACGAUGAGUGCUAAGUGUUAGGGGGUUUCCCGCCCCCUUAGUGCUGCAGCUAACGCAUUAAGCACUCCGCUGGGGAGUACGGCCGCAAGGCUG